rnacentral:rRNA from 1 species
UACAGGGGGUGCAAACGUUGCUCGGAAUCAUUGGGCGUAAAGCGCACGUAGGCGGUUCGUUAUGUCGGAUGUGAAAGCCCUUGGCUUAACCGAGGAAGUGCAUCCGAAACUGGCGAGCUAGAGUACGAAAGAGGAUCGCGGAAUUCCCGGUGUAGAGGUGAAAUGCGUAGAUAUCGGGAGGAACACCCGUGGCGAAGGCGGCACUCUGGGACGGUACUGACGCUGAGACGCGAAAGCGUGGGGAGCAAACAGG